rnacentral:rRNA from 1 species
GCGACCCCAGGUCAGGUGGACACCCGAGGG